rnacentral:lncRNA from 1 species
CCCUUACAGAAUUGUUUGCAAGAUCCUGUUAGAUAGGUGGCUUACUAAAACCUCAUGUCUUAAAUACUGAAGUAGGAUGUUAAUGUGUGCUCCUUUGUCAACUGCCCUGGUUGCUUGGCAGGUCCUUGUCUUUCUUUCCCCAUUCAGAGCUUUUGCAACUGAAUAGAAACUGAGAACUUUCUUAGAUACAAAUCCCACCAGAUACAGAAUCCACAGAUAUGGAUUAAUACCACCAUAUCACCCAUGUAGCUCACAGAAUAACCUAGCAGAUGGAUGAAGCCUGAGUUGCUACUGACAUGUGAGGCAAACACAAAGUUGCAUGAUAACUUGUACUUGAGGAAGGGGCAAAAUACGUUUCUUUCCCAGAAGUGAGCAUAUCAACCUACUUACUUGAAGCUUUUUUCUAC